AUACUUACCUGGCAGGGUAGAUACCGUGAAACACAAAGGUGGUUUUCCCAGGGUGAGGCUUAUCCAUUGCACUCUGGAUGUGCUGACUGACCCCUGUGAUUUCUCCAAAAGUGAAAAACACUAAUGCAUAAUUUGUGAUAGUGGGGGAUUAUGCUCAUGCUCUCCCC